GGCAGAUGAUGGCUACUCUCACGAUGGUCUGCAGAUGCCCGCGGCUGGCACUGCUGAGACGGCCGCUUGGCGUGGCUGAUGUCGGGCG
ensembl:snoRNA SNORD35B small nucleolar RNA, C/D box 35B